rnacentral:misc_RNA from 1 species
CAAGAAAAGAAGGAAAUACUUGUAGUUCAAUGCCCCAACACAAUUGACAACCCAAACACAAUGAUGGUCCAUUUUCAAUAUACAUCUUCCACAAACAGAACAAUGAUGACAUCGAGGUGGUUUAAAUUGGUUGCACUUUCGACAGAAUCGCAUUCUUUGGUUAGCUGGCUCACCAAGUACAGAUUACUGGUUUAAACCUAAAUUUGCACCGCCGUGCUCUAACCCUAUCAAUGGAUCUGCAUCACCUCUCUCCUCAUCAAUUGAUGGCCUCCAACUUGUUGGGACACCACCUGGAUCCGUUAGAACAGUAGCAAAGUAGCUCCAUAAUAGCAUCACC